AGAGUUUGAUCCUGGCUCAGAUUGAACGCUGGCGGCAUGCCUUACACAUGCAAGUCGAACGGUAACAGGUUAAGCUGACGAGUGGCGAACGGGUGAGUAAUGUAUCGGGACGUGCCCAGUCGUGGGGGAUAACUGCUCGAAAGAGCAGCUAAUACCGCAUACGACCUGAGGGUGAAAGCGGGGGAUCGCAAGACCUCGCGCGAUUGGAGCGGCCGAUAUCAGAUUAGGUAGUUGGUGGGGUAAAGGCCCACCAAGCCAACGAUCUGUAGCUGGUCUGAGAGGACGACCAGCCACACUGGGACUGAGACACGGCCCAGACUCCCACGGGAGGCAGCAGUGGGGAAUUUUGGACAAUGGGCGCAAGCCUGAUCCAGCCAUGCCGCGUGCGGGAAGAAGGCCUUCGGGUUGUAAACCGCUUUUGUCAGGGAAGAAAAGGUUCUGGCUAAUACCUGGGACUCAUGACGGUACCUGAAGAAUAAGCACCGGCUAACUACGUGCCAGCAGCCGCGGUAAUACGUAGGGUGCAAGCGUUAAUCGGAAUUACUGGGCGUAAAGCGUGCGCAGGCGGUUAUGCAAGACAGAGGUGAAAUCCCCGGGCUCAACCUGGGAACUGCCUUUGUGACUGCAUGGCUAGAGUGCGGCAGAGGGGGAUGGAAUUCCGCGUGUAGCAGUGAAAUGCGUAGAUAUGCGGAGGAACACCGAUGGCGAAGGCAAUCCCCUGGGCCUGCACUGACGCUCAUGCACGAAAGCGUGGGGAGCAAACAGGAUUAGAUACCCUGGUAGUCCACGCCCUAAACGAUGUCAACUGGUUGUUGGGAGGGUUUCUUCUCAGUAACGUAGCUAACGCGUGAAGUUGACCGCCUGGGGAGUACGGCCGCAAGGUUGAAACUCAAAGGAAUUGACGGGGACCCGCACAAGCGGUGGAUGAUGUGGUUUAAUUCGAUGCAACGCGAAAAACCUUACCUACCCUUGACAUGUCUGGAAUCCUGAAGAGAUUUGGGAGUGCUCGAAAGAGAGCCAGAACACAGGUGCUGCAUGGCCGUCGUCAGCUCGUGUCGUGAGAUGUUGGGUUAAGUCCCGCAACGAGCGCAACCCUUGUCAUUAGUUGCUACGAAAGGGCACUCUAAUGAGACUGCCGGUGACAAACCGGAGGAAGGUGGGGAUGACGUCAGGUCAUCAUGGCCCUUAUGGGUAGGGCUACACACGUCAUACAAUGGCCGGGACAGAGGGCUGCCAACCCGCGAGGGGGAGCUAAUCCCAGAAACCCGGUCGUAGUCCGGAUCGUAGUCUGCAACUCGACUGCGUGAAGUCGGAAUCGCUAGUAAUCGCGGAUCAGCUUGCCGCGGUGAAUACGUUCCCGGGUCUUGUACACACCGCCCGUCACACCAUGGGAGCGGGUUCUGCCAGAAGUAGUUAGCCUAACCGUAAGGAGGGCGAUUACCACGGCAGGGUUCGUGACUGGGGUGAAGUCGUAACAAGGUAACC
rnacentral:rRNA from 1 species